rnacentral:rRNA from 1 species
GACGAGCCCUGGCGGCGUGGAUUAGGCAUGCAAGUCGAACGGUAUCAUCCUUUCGGGGGUGAGAGAGUGGCGAACUGGUGAGUAACACGUAGGUUAUCUACCCUCAAGACGGGGGACAACCCAGGGAAACUUGGGCUAAUACCGGAUGUGAGCAACUUUAGUUGUUUGAAAGGUGGCGUAAGCUGUCGCUUGGGGAUGAGCCUGCGUCCUAUUAGUUAGUUGGUGAGGUAACGGCUCACCUAGGCAAUGAUAGGUAGGCGGCCUUAACGGGUGGUCGCCCACACUGGGAUUGUAGAUACGGCCCAGACUCCUACGGGAGGCAGCAGUCGAGAAUAGUCUACAAUGGUCGGAAGACUGAUAGUGCGACGCCGCGUGAACGAUGAAUCCCUUCGGGGUGUAAAGUUCUUUUAUAUGUGAGCAGUGCUUCUUAUAUUAACAGUAUGGGGAGAGAGAUAUUAGCAUAUGAAUAAGCAACGGCUAACUCCGUG